AAGCAUAAGCCAUGCAUGUCUAAGUAUAAGUGUUAUACAGCGAAACUGCGAAUGGCUCAUUAAAACAGUUAUAGUUUAUUUGAUAAUCGAAUUUACAUGGAUAACCGUGGUAAUUCUAGAGCUAAUACAUGCUGGUAGGCCCGACUUUUGCGGAAGGGCGGUAUUUAUUAGAUAACAAGCCAAUAUUCCUCUGGUCUAUUGUGGUGACUCAUAAUAACUGAUCGAAUCGCAAGGCCUUUGGCCGCGAUAAGUCAUUCAAGUUUCUGCCCCAUCAGCUUUCGAUGGUAGUGUAUUGGACUACCAUGGCGUUUACGGGUAACGGAGGAUUAGGGUUCGAUUCCGGAGAGGGAGCCUGAGAAACGGCUACCACAUCUAAGGAAGGCAGCAGGCGCGUAAAUUACCCAAUCCUGACUCAGGGAGGUAGUGACAAGAAAUAACGGACCGAGGCCUUCGGGCUUCGGGAUUGGAAUGAGCCGAAUUUACACCCCUUAGCGAAGAUCGAUUGGAGGGCAAGUCUGGUGCCAGCAGCCGCGGUAAUUCCAGCUCCAAUAGCGUAUAUUAAAGUUGUUGCAGUUAAAAAGCUCGUAGUUGGAUUUCUGGGAGGGUGCCGAUGUCCACUUAACGUGUGCGCAGCGGCGCCCUCUCAUCCUUCUGUUAGCGUCUCUUGGCAUUCAUUUGCUGGUGGCGGGCUCAGAUAUUUUACCUUGAGAAAAUUAGAGUGUUUCAGGCAGGC
rnacentral:rRNA from 1 species